UCUGAGAGAAGAGGAGCAGCAGGAGGAGACGGACCAUCCUCCUCUCCUCUGUAAUGACAAGCUCUCAUCCCCCCCCCCCCCUCUCUCUCUCUCUUCAACUCCUCAGAAACAACCCUCAUCCUCCAGGACUCUCCCUCAUCGCGCUCCUUCUUCCUUCCUUCACUUUCGCCUAUUUUCCAUCAUUUUUCUCCCCAUCCUUUUCUUUUUACUUUCUCUGAAACCCGUCCUCAACCCUCAACACCUCCAGAGAUGUGAGGAGAUAAUGAGGACCCCCUGCCAGCGCUGCUGACUUGGAAGAUCCGUGCAUCCUCAUCUUUUGCUCUGUUUUUUCCUCUCUCCCUCUCUCUCUCUCUCUCUCUCCUUUUUUCUCGGAGGUUCAUCUGCCUCUCAACAAUGUAAGCGACGUACUGUCAGUUCAGUGAUGAAGAAGCACACUACUUGGCCCGUUUUCCCCGCAUCUUAUGUGCUCGCUCUUUCAGCCGGAGGGAAGGAAUGAAGGAUUUUGCGCGGAGGCAAAGUUUGAGGGCACCUCCUCACCUGCCCGCCUCUGCCUUUAACCGAUUACCAGGAAGAGAGCAAAAACAACAGAUGAAGAACUUCUGAGCGAGCUGACUAUUGUUCUGGCGUUUUUAUUUAUUCAUUUAUUUUUCGCUUGAGUGGGAUUUGGUCACCUUCCUGGAGGAAUUCGAGGUGCGCCACGCUGAAGGAUAUGACUUAGAACAAAGAUGCUGGCGUUGACAGCUGGAGUAAGGUCCGUGACUUGAGUGCUUUUCUCACUUCAAACUAGAAAUUGCCCCAGACUUAGGUGAAAAGCCGUCCAAAUGGGAGGAUACCUGGAGGACUGAGGCGGAUUCGGCAGCCGAGAUAAGAUGUGGAUAAAAAGGAGCGCUGCGCGCAGGACUCUCCUCACUUGCAUUGACUUGCUACGCUGGAGGCUGGCAGGAUCAGGGAAGGUGGAGUGAAUGGAAACAAAAUUUCGUCUGCUCUGAGGCCAGGCAGCUGUGUGGGACACUGGGUCUGGAUCCUGCUGGCCAUGACUCACCUCACCUUGGACUUCUCUGUGUGCAGCCCCCUCAGCCCGGGCCUGGGGAUCAAGCUCACACCUAAAUUGGUUGCUCGCUCCUGGCCUCGGUUGCAACCUCUCUGGGAUAUGCCCAACAAGCUUCACUGGAGGACAGUGGGCCCAUUGGCGCGUCGACUCCUCCACCCCGUUCCUCCACCUCAAGAGAACAGGGCAGGGAUGGGGCUAAAAUGCAAAGGUCAAAUGCACCGGAAGUUAGCACAUAGAGGACAAGCGGCAUGUAAGGAUUGCUGGUCCAAAUACUCUCAAACAGAGCCAAGUGAUCCUUUGGCUGGGAUAGUAGAAACUCCAGUGGCGUCAAGAGGAAAGUUGUUAAUUAGAGCCAGGAGGCAACUCAAAGGGAACAGCUACAACAAGCUUCAGGAGGGCCCGAAUGCUACGGUGAAUACUAAGGGGACUACUACGGUGCCUAGUUUCAUAGACUGGGGACCCACAGGGACAGAUAGCAAUGAUGAUGACAGCAAAGGAGAAAUCAAUGAAAGGCUAUCCACCAGGGCCUCACUCACGACAGUGGCAACAACUACUGGCACUACUUCAAGGGUCUCUGAAAGGACGUUCACUGUGGUGACCUCAACACAGUCCAAGAGUACCACUAAGUCCUCUAUCAGCAAAUCAGAGACUGCCAAACCACCAAAGCCAUACGGGGACACACCAGGUUUGGCAGUUCACCAGAUUAUCACAAUCACUGUGUCUCUCAUCAUGGUGAUCGCAGCCUUGAUCACAACACUCGUCCUUAAAAACUGCUGUGCGCAGUCUGGAAAUGGCCGCCACAAUAGCCAUCAGAGAAAGAUCCACCAGCAGGAGGAAAGCUGCCAGAACCUGACAGACUUCACGCCGGCCCGCGUGCCCAGCAAGGUGGACAUCUUCACUGCCUACAACGACAGCCUGCAGUGCUCACAUGAGUGCGUACGGACUGCCGUCCCCAUCUACACCGAUGAGAUGAUCCAGCAGACACCUGUGUACAAGACGGCUUACAAUGGAAACAGGCCCUCCCCCACCGAAAGACAACUGAUUCCUGUGGCCUUUGUGUCGGAGAAAUGGUUCGAGAUCUCUUGUUGAUGAGCUUGUAGGCUUUCACUCAUUUACCGGGAAAGACUUCAUGAAUCCACGCUCUGGAUCCAGUUGGAAACAAGAAACACACAAAAACAGCUUAUUUUGUAAAAUAGUGUAAUCUCUCCUCGGACACUUGUGAAGAUAUUUAUUUUUCUAGAGAUAACAAGCUGAGCAGCCGUGGAGCUGCUCUUCCAUCUUUCCCGAAAAACAGCAUUCAUUUAGGUAGAGAGUACAUAUAUAUAUAUCUAAGUAUAUAUAGAUAUAUUUACAGGACGUAUGGGACAAGACUGUGGAAGACAAAGGAGCCCAAGGAGCUGCUUUGGGUGGAAGUCAAACUAUAUAUUUCUGAACAAUGUGCCAAUAAUGCCACUAUGUGCCACAACUUGGAUAAAUGGAAGUUUUAACAAUAACUGAAGGACUAAACAAAGUGUGUUGUAUUAAACCUGUAUCAGUUCUUAUUGCUUUAUUUAUUUUCUUUUUUUGUCCUUUUUUUUUAAAGAAAUGUAAAAAAAAAAAAAAAAAAAACAAACUUCAAAUGUAUUUGAAAAUGUUUCGAAGUAAUUUUGAGAAAUGUGUUGCAAAGGAGUCCAAAACAUAUUUCUACGAAUCACAAAAAAGAGAGUUAGAAAAAAAAUAUAUAGAUGGUUUAUGCUUUAUUGAACAAUUGACUAUAAAGACAUAAUUUGUAUUAAGUCCCAUUUUAAAACCGGAAUAGUUAUUUCUAUUUUUGUACACCUAGGAAUUAAAAAAAAAGAAAAAAAAAAAAAAGAGUCUGCCGCAGCACCGACAGUGGAAGUCUGGAGAACGGAGGACCGCUGCUGUCACACGCCCCCCACUCUUAGCUGAAACUAUUACAAAGGACCCCAUCUGCAUCUGGCUCACGCCAACCCAAUGCUCACGUCACUGCUUCUUAAUCAUGGAGGUUAAUCAAAACAGAUAUGGAAGGCAUUUGUGGUGAAGGUGUAUGCAACAGCACCGGAUUCAUAUAGCUUGAAUGCAGAGAGUCACGAGACACUGCAGGGAACUCCACGGGAUAUUCAUAGCACCUCAGGACUGUCCAGGUUUCAUGCAAAGUACAAAAGAGUCUCUUACUAAGCAAUUAGUGAAACUAAAUUCUGAUACUUGGUAUAAUUCAAAUGGGGAGUGGAAAAAAAGAGGCUCAAACAUCCUCGAAAAUAUAUGAAUCAGUUUUCUGGGUGAAAAAUGGGAAGCAACAGAGGAAUAAUCCUGCGGCUCAAAAUGAUCCUCAGCAAGUUUCCUUGACCAGAUGUAUUGCAAAGGCCACCUCUCUAUAGACCCACCUGGUCCUCUACCAAAGGGAAAGCAGUUCAAGGAGAAUAAAAUGUAACCAGUUUUAAUCCAAACAGACUGUGUUGAAAUAAAUUAUCCAGCCGUAUCUGAAAUAAUUCAAUUAAUAAAAGUUGACACUCCCUGAUUGUUUUGUUAAAGUCAAAGGAUUAAGACAACCCAAUUACCCACCACCAAAUUGGUUGAAACAGUCUCUGAAGUCAAGUGGAGUGAACUGCAAAGCAGCGCUCUCCCAAGAACCUCCUAGCACCACUGACUUUAUUAUUAUUAAAACUUAAACCUCUGAUUACCUUUGUGCUAUGAAGCUCUUGUGGAAACUGUCUAAUAAUCUACCUGUAAUUGUGCUGUAGGUUUGUACAAAGCACAAACACAAUUCUGUAAUUGUAAACAUUUUUUUUUCUUUUGCUGCAAACAGCAAUAUGUACAGAUUUAAUCGGUUUCACUAGGUGUUGGGAAAAUUCAUUAAUAGUAAUUCACAUGGGUCCAUUUUUUUUUAGACUUGUACACAAUUCGUAAAAUGUACCAAGAAAACAUGGCAAAUAAUUUCAAGGAGGCUGUUUCACACAUGACUGGCUGAAGAUCGUUUGGGGAUUCUACGUACAGUUUGGUGCGAUUUUUCUUUUUUUAAUAUUAUUCUUAAUGGUUUUUUUAAGUGGCUGUUCACUUAAGCAUUUCAUUAUAGAAAAGUUUCUUCUUAAGAUUUGGUCUCAUAGUUAGAAGUGUUUGGGAUGAAGAAACUGUAAGCAGGACAAAAUGCAGAGAAAUUGAUGUUUUCAAAAAUGAUGAACCUUUCUACAAUCACUGUUGUAAAGAAAGAAUUAUGAAGAAAUAAGAACUGCUUGUGUCUUAACACUUCCCAAGAGGCAAGGGAGCAAAUGGUAAAAAACAAAACAAAAACAGGUUACCAGUAAAAUAGAGAUAUUCACUGCUACGUUUGCACAUUUUCUCGCUAGCUGUUCUUCUGGAUUUUCAUUUCUUUGUUUUCAAGGCAGCCUGAACAAUCUCUGAAAGAAUUUCAGGGGAAAUGCUGCCACGUAGUUUCUAGAACAUUCCAGGACUGUGGUGCAUGUGUGAAAACGCCUUACGUGUAAACGCGAGCCCUUGUCGAGGUGUAAAAAAUUGAGUUGGGAUCAACACUGUGGUGCAAAACUCCUGCUUUUCGGCCCAAACACAAUAUAAAAAAAAAAAAAAAUUAAAAAUGGCUCUAAUGAAUAACGCAUAACUGGUUCAGCCUCAAACGCGUCAGGCUGUGUUGCGUCUUUGACAUAACAUAUAUUUUUUGAAUGAAGACUCUUACCUUCUCUAUCAGAGGGGUUGUGAAACCUACUGUAUAUUACACACGUGUAAAUGUAUUUUCUAUAUAUUUGCUUCUACUUGUGUACAGGUGUGUUCUAUUUUUCAAGGCCUUUCCUGUUGUUGGGAAGGCUUCGAGCUAGGUCGGGGAUAGUGUCUUUGUUUACAUGUGUAUCUACAGUAUUUCUUUCAAAAACACAAAAACUAACCUUGUGCCAAGCUUCUUCUCUGCACUUUCGAGCAGUACUUGUAUGAUAUCUUUAGCUAACCAGUAUAAAACGUCAGUAGAUGCUGCAAUAGUUCACUGGCUGAAAAGUGGAAGGUCUGAAAGUAAGAAUAUUGGGAGGCUUUAUCAGGUUCUGGUGCAUUUAUGGAUUGGCUGGAAAACCAAUGACUUGCUCUUCUCAAACACUUUUAAGUGGAAUUUAAUAUAAAGAGCACCAUCACAUGAAUAUUAAUUUCAAAAACAAAACAAAACAACCGAUGCCAAGAAACCAACUAAACUUGAUCUAUGUUGAGUUCCUUCCAUCUGUCAUUCUUUUUUUUUUACUUUAUUUAUUUUUUGCUACACUUGCCCCAGAAAUUUUAGAAUUUGGCACAAGCUUCUACUAAUGAAGUACAUGAUGCCGAUGAUGUAAAAAUAAAAGUGUUAACUGAAUGAAUGAAAACACAUAGUUUGAAAACAAGUUCUUUUUCUCAAAGUUAUUUCCUGGUUUGUAAAAUCACCUGUACAUUUUAACCUGUAUUGCUUCAAUGGCAGUCCUGAUAAUGUUAUAACUGGGAUGCCUGAUUAGCAUGGAAAAACAGACGCUUUAGCAAGGCAACCUGUGUAGACCAGUUGCAGCAUAACACCAUAAAUGCAACAUAUGAACUCAUUUCUUUUCUUAUCUGGCUACACAGUUUACUUCCCUACAAUUUUCUGUUGCAAAUACUGAGGGAAUGAAAUAAAUUCUUCCCCAAGUUGGAUCUGAUUUUCUAAGCGGGUGCAUUUAUUUUGCGCAGCGAAUGAAUAUUUUGCAGCUUCUGUUUCCGUCACCUCACUCGCCUACGAAUACUUCCCCUCAGCACAAAGACGCUAUCGACCAGCAGAGGCUUGCUCUGUCAAGACGAAGGAUAAGACAAAUUUACAGGUCCUGUGAUUUGUGUUUGCAUGUGUCAAGACAUAUGGAGUGGAACUUAUCGACAUAUGUAUUGUUUAAACAUCUAAAUGUUGACUGAACAUUUCCAAGGUUUUUUUUUUAUAUUUCAUUUCCCAGCCAUAUCGUUAAACAGCAUUACCAUAAGAGGAAGAGAGUCGAUGAAUCGAGUCGGCUUCGUUAUCAGGCUUUUGGUGUCCGACGAGCCCAGAAACGUGGCGUUGACAGCGACAAGGUGGCGGUUUGAAUUUGAUCAAAGUCAAUAGGGUGCUCAAUGAGGCGAGACUCUGCAGGAGGAGAGAAAUAUUUGAUGUGACAAUAAAUCUUAACGAUUCAAUUCCUUAGCUGUGAGGAAACUGUAGCUCCUCACUCUGCUUCUCCUUGUUUCAGGAAAAUCUCGUACUGUGUGCUUACUGUAAUCGCAGCAGAGGGCUCUGACUCUGCUCUUGGGUCAUGUUUUUUAUUUUUUACUUUUUAUUCUUAUUAUCCACAAGAGCUAAAGCACUGCUGGCGCUUAUCUAUACAGUGAAAGACUUGGGAACAUAGAAGAAAAACAUUUUUUGUUUGCAGCACCCCAGAUUUUCUCAUUACGCAUCGGCGAGAGGGGGCAGUAGUAACGUGACCCAAAUCUGCCGUUGAUUCACACAGAAGGCCUCUAGCACUGUAAGAUGCCUUUUGCAGCAGAGUGCAGAUCCGAACUGAGUGGCAUGUAAAGGGAAUCUGAGAAGCAGGAAGGAACAGGAAGAGAGCUACUGCAGACUGGUGGGGAGCGUUUAGUGACGACAAAAUCGGAGGCUGAAGUUGAGCUAAUAUGGGAGAGAAAAAUAAAAAGUGUCAUUUAUAUCAUACGUUGUGUUUACAGGUGGGAG